AGAGAUGAAUAACUUAAUCCUUUCUCUUAACAGCCUUCCCUAUCUCUUCCAUUUGAUUUGGUGUCUUUGCCAGCUCAGUAUAUAUUUAACAGAUAUUUCUUGGUGUAAAGACCUUAUUUGCUAAAAUAUUUGUACAGUAGUUAGGCAAAAUUAUGGUUUUUCAGCUGCUUUCAUUUCAAGGAUAAUGCUGCGGACAAGAAGAUAAUUUAAGUCAUUAUAGCCUGUCAACCAAGAUCUGUUCACUUUGACUUUUCAGAAACUGUUGCUUUUGAACAUUGGACUGUCUGGAAUGACAACUUCACUCAAUCCAAUGGCCACAUCUCAAGACAUUCCUGCUGUUCACAACUUUUCUUUUGUAUUGCAGGUACUUCUAGCCUCGUUUUUAUGGAUUAAGGGUAGCAACCAGGAUCCCAAAAAAAUACCAAGGUCUUUCCAGUGAGCCCCGUGAACGCCCGACCGAGAGGGGCAGCAUGUGGGCGGCGGCUGGUGGGGUUGGACCAGAGCCAUGCCUAGCCAAAACACGCGCUGGAGCGGGUCGCAGGAGGGUCAUCGCUCGGGGGCCCAGCCGAGACAUGGGUGCAGCGCCUGGCAGCAGCAGUGCAGCUGAGAGCAGAGGAGGCGGCGCACAGGGAGCUGAGCGGCACGGCCGGGCCCAGCCUGCACGGCCCUGAAUGCGACCCCGGCAGGAGCGCGCAGGCACGAGCAGCCCCGACGGCCCCAGCAGCCCUGGCAAUUCCAACACGGGAGCA